rnacentral:rRNA from 1 species
AUUGAACGCUGGCGGCAGGCCUAACACAUGCAAGUCGAGCGGUAGAGAGGUGCUUGCAUCUCUUGAGAGCGGCGGACGGGUGAGUAAUGCCUAGGAAUCUGCCUAGUGGUGGGGGAUAACGUUCGGAAACGGACGCUAAUACCGCAUACGUCCUACGGGAGAAAGCGGGGGGAUCUUCGGACCUCGCGCCAUUAGAUGAGCCUAGGUCGGAUUAGCUAGUUGGUGAGGUAAUGGCUCACCAAGGCGACGAUCCGUAACUGGUCUGAGAGGAUGAUCAGUCACACUGGAACUGAGACACGGUCCAGACUCCUACGGGAGGCAGCAGUGGGGAAUAUUGGACAAUGGGCGAAAGCCUGAUCCAGCCAUGCCGCGUGUGUGAAGAAGGUCUUCGGAUUGUAAAGCACUUUAAGUUGGGAGGAAGGGUAGUAACCUAAUACGUUGCUACUUUGACGUUACCGACAGAAUAAGCACCGGCUAACUUCGUGCCAGCAG